AUUUUUAUAAUAUAAAAAUUAUAUUUGACUUCCAAUCAAAAAAUCUAAUAAUUUAGUAAAAAUA
rnacentral:tRNA from 1 species